AGCGAACGCUGGCGGCAGGCUUAACACAUGCAAGUCGAGCGGGCAUCUUCGGAUGUCAGCGGCAGACGGGUGAGUAACACGUGGGAACGUACCCUUCGGUUCGGAACAACUCUGGGAAACUGGAGCUAAUACCGGAUACGCCCUUAUGGGGAAAGGUUUACUGCCGAAGGAUCGGCCCGCGUCUGAUUAGCUAGUUGGUGGGGUAACGGCCUACCAAGGCGACGAUCAGUAGCUGGUCUGAGAGGAUGAUCAGCCACACUGGGACUGAGACACGGCCCAGACUCCUACGGGAGGCAGCAGUGGGGGAUAUUGGACAAUGGGCGCAAGCCUGAUCCAGCCACGCCGCGUGAGUGAUGAAGGCCUUAGGGUUGUAAAGCUCUUUUGUCCGGGACGAUAAUGACGGUACCGGAAGAAUAAGCCCCGGCUAACUUCGUG
rnacentral:rRNA from 1 species